GACGAACGCUGGCGGUGUGCUUAACACAUGCAAGUCGAACGGUAAGGCCCUUUCGGGGGUCCACGAGUGGCGCACGGGUGAGUAACACGUGAGUAACCUGCCCUCAUCUCUGGGAUAACAGUCGGAAACGGUUGCUAAUACUGGAUAUGAGCUUGCAAGGCAUCUUGUGGGUUGGAAAGAUUUUUUUGGUUGGGGAUGGACUCGCGGCCUAUCAGCUUGUUGGUGAGGUAGUGGCUCACCAAGGCUUCGACGGGUAGCCGGCCUGAGAGGGCGACCGGCCACAUUGGGACUGAGAUACGGCCCAAACUCCUACGGGAGGCAGCAGUGGGGAAUAUUGCACAAUGGACGGAAGUCUGAUGCAGCAACGCCGCGUGCGGGAUGACGGCCUUCGGGUUGUAAACCGCUUUCAAUUGUGACGAAGCUUUUUGUGACGGUAGCAGUAGAAGAAGCACCGGCUAACUACGUG
rnacentral:rRNA from 1 species